UACGGAGGAUGCGAGCGUUAUCCGGAUUUAUUGGGUUUAAAGGGUGCGUAGGCGGCGAUAUAAGUCAGUGGUGAAAUAUUUCGGCUUAACCGAGAGACUGCCAUUGAUACUGUGUUGCUAGAAUAUGGUUGCUGUGAGUGGAAUGUGUGGUGUAGCGGUGAAAUGCUUAGAUAUCACACAGAAUAUCGAUUGCGAAGGCAGCUCACAAAGCCAUUAUUGACGCUGAGGCACGAAAGUGUGGGGAUCAAACAGG
rnacentral:rRNA from 1 species